CAAUAGCGUAUAUUAAAGUUGUUGCAGUUAAAAAGCUCGUAGUUGGAUUUCUGGCCGAGUGUCCCUAGGCCAGCAUGACGUUUGGUCCUAGGCGCUCUGCCAUCCUUCUGUCAACCUUCGCCUUCUUCAUUGGGGGCGCUGGGGCUCAGAUAUUUUACCUUGAGAAAAUUAGAGUGUUCAAAGCGGGCGUUUGCUUGAAUAUAUUAGCAUGGAAUAAUGGAAUAGGACCCUGGUCCUAUUUUGUUGGUUUUGAGGACUAGAGUAAUGAUUAAUAGGGAUAGUUGGGGGCAUUCAUAUUUAAUUGUCAGAGGUGAAAUUCUUGGAUUUAUGAAAGAUGAACUUCUGCGAAAGCAUUUGCCAAGGAUGUUUUCAUUAAUCAAGAACGAAAGUUAGGGGAUCGAAGACGAUUAGAUACCGU
rnacentral:rRNA from 1 species